AGCAGCCGCGGUAAUUCCAGCUCCAAUAGCGUAUAUUAAAGUUGUUGCAGUUAAAAAGCUCGUAGUUGAAUUUCGGGAUUGGCGCAUCGGUCGUGCCUCACGGGGUAUGAACUGGUGCAGUCAAUUUCUCACCUUCUGGAGAACCGCGAUGUCCUUAAUUGGAUGCCGCGGGGAACCAGGACCUUUACUUGAAAAAUUAGAGUGUUUAAAGCAGGCAUUUUUGCUUGAAUACAUUAGCAUGGAAUAAUAAAAUAGGACGGCAUGGUUCUAUUUUGUUGGUUUCUAGGACCACCGUAAUGAUUAAUAGGGAUAGUUGGGGGCAUUAGUAUUCAAUUGUCAGAGGUGAAAUUCUUGGAUUUAUUGAAGACUAACUACUGCGAAAGCAUUUGCCAAGGAUGUUUUCAUUAAUCAAGAACGAAAGUUAGGGGAUCGAAGACGAUCAGAUACCGUCGUAGUCUUAACCAUAAACUAUGCCGACUAGGAAUCAGACGAUGUUAAUUUUUAUGACUCGUUGGCACCU
rnacentral:rRNA from 1 species